rnacentral:rRNA from 1 species
UACGUAGGCAGCAAGCGUUGUUCGGAAUUACUGGGCGUAAAGAGUGUGUAGGCGGUGCUCUAAGUCUGUUGUGAAAUCUCCCGGCUUAACUGGGAGGGUGCGGCGGAGACUGGAGUGCUAGAGUGUGGGAGAGGUAAGCGGAAUUCCUGGUGUAGCGGUGAAAUGCGUAGAUAUCAGGAGGAACACCUGUGGCGAAGGCGGAUCUCUGGGCCUUACCUGACGCUCAGGUGCGAAAGCUAGGGGAGCGAACAGG